rnacentral:rRNA from 1 species
UGAGGAAUAUUGCGCAAUGAGCGAAAGCUAGACGCAGCAACGCCGCGUGGGCGAUGAAGGCCUUCGGGUCGUAAAGUCCUUUUCAGAGGGACGAGUGAGGACGGUACCUCUGGAAUAAGUCACGGCUAACUACGUGCCAGCAGCCGCGGUAAAACGUAGGUGGCAAGCGUUAUCCGGAUUCACUGGGCGUAAAGCGCCUGCAGGCGGUCUUGUAAGUGGGAUGUGAAAUCUCCUGGCUUAACUGGGAGGGGCCAUUCCAUACUGCGAGGCUUGAGGGCAGAAGAGGGAAGCGGAAUUCCCGGUGUAGUGGUGAAAUGCGUAGAUAUCGGGAGGAACACCAGUGGCGAAGGCGGCUUCCUGGCCUGCUCCUGACGCUAAGAGGCGAAAGCUAGGGGAGCGAACGGGAUUAGAAACCCCGGUAGUCCUAGCCGUAAACGAUGGAUACUGGGUGUCGGCGGUCCUAACCCCGUCGGUGCCGAAGCCAACGCGUUAAGUAUCCCGCCUGGGGACUACGGCCGCAAGGUUA